rnacentral:rRNA from 1 species
UACGGAGGGGGCAAGCGUUAUUCGGAAUUACUGGGCGUAAAGCGCGCGCAGGCGGCCUUGUAAGUCUGAUGUGAAAGCCCGGGGCUCAACCUCGGAAGCGCACCGGAAACUGCGGGGCUAGGGUCUUGAAGAGGAGAGCGGAAUUCCCGGUGUAGAGGUGAAAUUCGUAGAUAUCGGGAGGAACACCAGUGGCGAAGGCGGCGAUCUGGGCAGAGACUGACGCUGAGGCGCGAAGGCGUGGGAAGCAAACAGG